UAGGGAAUCUUCCGCAAUGGGCGAAAGCCUGACGGAGCAACGCCGCGUGAGUGAUGAAGGUCUUCGGAUCGUAAAACUCUGUUAUUAGGGAAGAACAAAUGUGUAAGUAACUAUGCACGUCUUGACGGUACCUAAUCAGAAAGCCACGGCUAACUACGUGCCAGCAGCCGCGGUAAUACGUAGGUGGCAAGCGUUAUCCGGAAUUAUUGGGCGUAAAGCGCGCGUAGGCGGUUUUUUAAGUCUGAUGUGGAAGCCCACGGCUCAACCGUGGAGGGUCAUUGGAAACUGGAAAACUUGAGUGCAGAAGAGGAAAGUGGAAUUCCAUGUGUAGCGGUGAAAUGCGCAGCGAUAUGGAGGAACACCAGUGGCGAAGGCGACUUUCUGGACUGUAACUGACGCUGAUGUGCGAAAGCGUGGGGAUCAAACAGG
rnacentral:rRNA from 1 species